rnacentral:rRNA from 1 species
GACGAACGCUGGCGGCGUGCUUAACACAUGCAAGUCGAACGGAAAGGCCCUGCUUUUGUGGGGUGCUCGAGUGGCGAACGGGUGAGUAACACGUGAGUAACCUGCCCUUGACUUUGGGAUAACUUCAGGAAACUGGGGCUAAUACCGGAUAGGAGCUCCUGCUGCAUGGUGGGGGUUGGAAAGUUUCGGCGGUUGGGGAUGGACUCGCGGCUUAUCAGCUUGUUGGUGGGGUAGUGGCUUACCAAGGCUUUGACGGGUAGCCGGCCUGAGAGGGUGACCGGCCACAUUGGGACUGAGAUACGGCCCAGACUCCUACGGGAGGCAGCAGUGGGGAAUAUUGCACAAUGGGCGGAAGCCUGAUGCAGCAACGCCGCGUGCGGGAUGACGGCCUUCGGGUUGUAAACCGCUUUCGCCUGUGACGAAGCGUGAGUGUCGGUAAUGGGUAAAGAAGCACCGGCUAACUACGU